rnacentral:rRNA from 1 species
UACGUAGGGUGCAAGCGUUGUCCGGAAUCAUUGGGCGUAAAGAGCGUGUAGGCGGCCAGAAAAGUCCGCUGUGAAAACUCGAGGCUCAACUUCGAGCUGUCGGUGGAAACUUUCUGGCUAGAGUCCGGAAGAGGAGAAUGGAAUUCCUGGUGUAGCGGUGAAAUGCGCAGAUAUCAGGAAGAACACCAAUGGCGAAAGCAGCUUUCUGGGACGGUACUGACGCUGAGACGCGAAAGCGUGGGGAGCGAACAGG